UGGGGAAUAUUGGGCAAUGGGCGCAAGCCUGACCCAACAACGCCGCGUGAGGGAAGAAGGUUUUCGGAUUGUAAACCUCUGUCGCAAGGGACGAAGAAGUGACGGUACCUUGUGAGGAAGCCCCGGCUAACUACGUGCCAGCAGCCGCGGUAAUACGUAGGGGGCGAGCGUUGUCCGGAAUUACUGGGCGUAAAGGGUGCGUAGGCGGUUACUUAAGUUGGAUGUGAAAUACCCGGGCUUAACUUGGGGGGUGCAUUCAAAACUGGGUGACUAGAGUACAGGAGAGGGAAGCGGAAUUCCUAGUGUAGCGGUGAAAUGCGUAGAUAUUAGGAGGAACACCAGUGGCGAAGGCGGCUUUCUGGACUGACACUGACGCUGAGGCACGAAAGCGUGGGGAGCAAACAGGAUUAGAUACCCUGGUAGU
rnacentral:rRNA from 1 species